CGGCGAUUGGGUGAGGUUUAGAGACGCAUUUGCGAGCACUGUCAAUAAAUCUAGAAAAACGGUUCGAGUCCUGCGUUGGCAAAUGGGAGAAAUAAAGGGCACUACCAUUGAAGCCUGCCAAGAUGGAACAAUGGAGAGGAAAUGGCCUGAUGGUAUUAUUUCUGGACUGUCAAUCCAGGGACACAGAAACUCCACAUACUUCCGCUGACUACAAAGUAAACUUGAUCAGCUAUCUGGAUUUUUGUGAUGCACUGGAAUUUAAUU